GGGAGGCACGCAUGCGCAAGACGUGAAUGGCGUAGGGGUUGGAGGUUUGGAAGGUCAGGAAGGGAAGGACUCGCAGGCAUAUUUACGAACGCAAAGUUGCUAGGAGUUGGUACCAGCAGUUGGGAGGUAGAGGUGGAGCUCAUGCGUAUUUGAGACAACAUCUUGAAGGUUGGGGAGAACGGUAAGGAGGAAGCGGCGCGCAUGCGUAUUUCAGACGAAGUGCCGGGGAGGGCAGGCGCUCAGCGUUCGGGUAACUAAGGUUGCAAAAUGGCGAGGGGGGAGGUAAGCUGUCUUUGCUUGGCCAUCUUGGGCUAGCAGGCCCUCCAGAGAACUACCUUUUUAGCUGAGUGAAGGGAUCAGUCAACCUGAGUUGGAGUUCUGUGCUGUGGCCAGAUCCACUAGAAAUUAACCCAGAAUCUUAGCCUCUCACUGGCCUAUCGGUGAUGCCACUUGCAAUCAGAAACUAUGCCACUGGUGAAGAAGUAUAUUGAGCCCUGCCUGGUUAACCUCCAGUGAGGUUAUUAGAGAAUUGAGAGAGGCUCAAAUCAGCAUCCUGCACCUAGUUAUCAAACCAUUGUGAAGUCUUGAUUCCUGGAUGGCCAGAAAACAUCUCAUUGGUCAAGAGCAACAUUAAGAUCUGCCUGUUAUCAUACUGAUGCUUCCUGCCCAGCAAGUUCAUCAGAGGAAGAGGAUGAAUUACGGUUGCCAUGGAUGUCCUUGUGAGGCAGUUGGGAAGCCUUGGCUGGAUUGUGAAGGAUAUUUGGAAAGUAUUUUAGAGUCCACCAGAUCCUCCAUGUGAAUGACCAUGCAGCAAAAGAAGGAGGGUCCUGUCAGUGAUUAAGGUAACAUAGUGAUUAAGGAUUAUGAAGUAUUAAUUCUUCCACUGAUAUCUCAAAAGGUGAUUUGGACAAAGGAACAGGUAUCUCAGGGGCUGCUUUAUAUUUAUUACUCAGGAGGAGCUGGUAGAAGACUUCAUGUGAGUGAGAAGAAAAGGAAAGAAGUAGCAGGGGACGACUACAACCUCUCUUCAUCUCAGCUUCACAAAGCAUCAUUCAACAAAGGGAUCGCUAUUGAGAUCCUCUCCAGACCACAGAUGUUUAUCACCAGUGAGUGCAGUACCUAAAGGAGCAAGAGGACAAUAAGCACCCAGUGGACAACAGUGUGGCAUUUUGAGUGAAGACAGCAACUGAAAAGAUCAUGGGCUUGGCUAGAUUGGGCUGGGCUUGUUUUUUAAAAGUAAAAAAAAAAAAAUGUUUUCCUUCAUGAUGAAAGUAACAGGUGAUCAUUGUUAAAAAAUAAAGUGCAAAGUAUGCAUUAAAAACUAAAUAAUAUGUAUAAUUUUAUAAGCCAGAAAACAAUAAUUUGUAAUAUUUAGCUGUAUGUCCUUUCAGUCUUUUAAAAAAUUAUGUAUAUAACACAGUUUUAUAACAAAAUUGACAUCAUAUUGUAUAUACCAUUUUAUUAUCUAAUUUUUUCAUUGAAAAUUCACAAGCGUAUUUCCAUGUUAUCAUUCUUUGAAAAAUACAAUAUUAAGUGCUACAGAGUAUCUUAUGGAUUUAACAAAGUUUAUUUAGAUGAUAUCAUGUUAUUGGACAUUUUGAUUAUUAUCAAGUUUGCUUAUAAAAUUUAAAUGUAAUGAAGAACAUCAUUGUACAUUAACCUUUAUGCACAUCUGUAAUUAUUUCUUUAGAAUAAGGUUCCAGAAUUAAAAUUAUUUGGUUUGGAUGAUGAGAGCAUUUAGUAGAGCAUCUUACAGGUGGUGUUGAGUUUUCCUCAAUACAGUUGUGCAAAUUACAUUCCCACCAGUAGUGUAUAAAUGUGAAUAUCCCUCCAUACAUUCAUCAAAACAUAGCCUUUCUAUUUUUGUAAAUCUCUGCUAAUUUAAUAGGUAAAAAUAUACCUUUAUUUCUUUAAAAUUUUUAUUUAUAAUUUACACACAGUAAAAUUCAUUCUUUUUAGUGUAUGGUUCUAUGGGUUUUUGACAAAUGCACAGUCAUGUAUCUUCUACACUAGUACCAUACACAGAAGUUCUGUCACUUUAAUAAUUUCUCUUGGUGGCUCUUUUUCAACCCUUUGCCCCAUUCAACCCUUUGCCCCAUAUUCAGUCUCUGGAAACGAUCGAUUUGUUCUUCAUCUCUAUGGUUUUGCCUUUUCCAGAAGGUCAUGUAAGUGGAAUCAUGUAAUAUGUAGCCCUUUUGGUCUGGCUUCUUUCACUUAGUAAAAUGCAGUCAAGAUUCUCCCAUGUUUUGUGGAUAAUUAUUUCAUUCUUUUUUAUCACUGAGUAGUACUUCAUUGUGUGGAUGUACCACAGUUUUAUUAUCCAUCCACUAACUGAUGAACUUGUAAGAUGUUUCUAGUUUUGGUGAAUAUGAAUAAAUUUGCUAUAAACUUUCAGGUAUAAGUUUUGUAUGACAUAAAUGCUCAUUUUUAUAGGGUAAAUGCUUUGGAGUGGGAAUGAGUGCCAGACUGUUUUCUAAAGUUUCCCUAGCAUUUUACAUUCCAAUUACAAAUAUGUGAGAGUUCCAGUAGCUUUGUAUCUUUACCAGUAUUUAGUAAUUUUGUAUUAUACAUAUAUAUGUGUAUAUAUAUAUUCAUUUAAAUUUUAAUUGUUGUUAGAAUUUGUAAUUCCCUAAUGAUACAUGGUAUUAUCUUUUAUUUGUUUAUAAUUGACACAUAAUUGUUUAUGGGAUACAAUGUGAUGUUUCAGUACACGUGUACAUUGUAUAAUGAUCAAAUCAGGAUAUCACCUCAAACCUUAUGAUGAUCUUAGAGUUAAAGAUGGUAUAUUCUUGCAAAGUGUCUGUUCAGAUCUUUUGCUCUUUUUAUUGGAUUGUUCCUUUUCUUACUGUUUUUAUAUAUUUUUUUAAUAUAUUGAUACAAGUCCUUUGUCAGAUACAUUAUUUGGAAAUAGAUUUUCCUAGUCUGUGACUUGUCUUUUCAUUCUUUGAACGCUGCCUUUUUUAGAGCAAAAAUUUUAAUUUUGAUACGAUUCACUUUAUCAAUUUUUUUACUUUUGAUGUGCAAUGUAAGAACACUUGUCUAACCCAGUGUCAUGAAGAUUAUAUCAUAUUUUCAUCCAGAAAUUUUAUAGUUUUAAGUUUUACAUUUCUAUCUAUUAUCCUUUUUGAAUAAAGGUUUGUAUAAAGUUUAGCUAUGGGUCAAGGUUCAAUUUUUAAAAUAUGGUUAUCUAAUUGUUCUAGUACCAUUUGUUGAAAAGAUUGUUUCUUUUUUAUUGCAUUGCUUUUGCACUUUUGUCAAAAAAUGAAUUGAUUAUAUUUGUUUGGGUCUAAAUCUGGGCUGCCUAUUCUGUUCCAUUGUUAUCCAUUCACAAAUACUACAUUUUCCUAAUUACUUUAUAGGAAGUCUUAAAAUUAGAUAGUGUGUACAACUUCAUCCAUCUCAAAAAUCGUGUUGAUUACUACUUUGCUUUUCCAUAAAUUUCAGAAUUGUUGCUUUCUAUAAAAAAUUCUGCUAGUAUAUCUAUUGAGAUUGAAUUAGAUCUAUAGAUGAAUUUGAAGAAAAUUUACAUCCUCACAAUAUUUUGUCUUUAGGCCACAAACAUGAUAUAGCUGUAUAUUUAUUUUGGUCUUGAUUUUUUUUCUACUUUCAGCAUAUAGAUCCUGGAUAUAUUUUAUAUUUAUACCAAAUAUUUUAUACAUUUUCUACUGUUGUAAAUGGUAGUGGUUUUUAAAUUUUCAAACAUUCAUUACUAGUAUAUAGAAAUAAAAUCAUUUUUAAAAAAUGUAAUGGCAUUUAUUGUUUUUCAAUUUAAUAAACCGCAUCUGGACAACACAGUGAUUAAAAAUGUUGACAAUUGGGACAAUGUAAAUGUAAAGGUAAAGGUAACAAUUUUUACCUUGAUAAUGUAAAGGUAAAAAUGUAGUAGAUGGUGUAUGGGGACAAAAGAGGAAGUGAGUAGGAAGGGCAGAGUGGGAAUAUUAAUAGCUUCAUCUUUUAUAGAGAGAACACACUGAUGUGAACAGCAAAUAGGUGUAUAUGCAUCUGAAAGUCACUUUUGGUAUGUUGAUCUUGUAUCCUGCAACUUUGCUAAACUCACUUAUUAAUUAUAGGAACUUUUAUGCAUAUUUCUUGGCAUUUUCUAUAUACAGUGGUGUCUGUAUAGUUUACUAUUUACAUGUGAAUACUGAUAGUUUAAUUUCUUCCUUUCCAAUCUGCUUGCCUUUUAUAUCUUCUUGAAAUACUGCAUUGGCUAAGACUUGCAGUAAGAAGUUAAAGGGGAGUGUUUGGAGCACACAUUGCCAAGUCUCUGAUGUUAGUGUGGC